CACCACCUCCUGAAUCUUCUACAGCUAGUAAAAAGGAGAAAAGCAAUAUUAUUGGGAGUCAGUGGAUAUAUAGUAGUUUUUUCCUAAUAUUAGAAUAACUAUGUAGCCUAAUUCAUAGUUUUAACCUAUAUCAAGUACUAAGAGUUUGACCAUUUUAAAACUUGACUUCAUAUUCAGAAUUAGUCCAUUUAGAAAAUUAAAUCUAAUAAAUGACUAACCAGUUAAUGUCUCAGUUCUCAAAAGAACCACUGAACUAUCCAGUCUGGGAAUCUGAGUUGUUGCUUUGUGUUGCCUGGAGAUAAAGUAAUAUUCUUAGUUUACAGAGACUUCUCAGUGUAGUAGGAAGAAAAUUCAGAAGUAAUUUUUUAUGCAAAUAAAGUAUAGAGAUGCAUAUCCAAUAUACCAAAUACUAAAUCUAAAAAAAAGUCAGGAAUGAUAUACUGCUCAUUGUAAAAUUGGGAUAAAGAUUAACUGUACUGAGAAAUAACUUUUUGCUUUUCACUUGCUCAGUAAAAAUAACCAUUUUUGUUAUCUUUUUGAAGCUCAGCUCAGAUCUUACUGCUUUCAUGUUGAAAUCCAUCCCUCUAAGGACUUCCUGUUGCUGUCUAGAGGACAGAUCCAUAAGGAGGCCUUCAGGGUAACACACCCAUCUGGCAGAGCUGCCUGCAUUCCUGGCUUCAUCUGGUAUUUUACUCUGUUUGCUCUCUAGACUCCAGCUACACCAGUUUUCAAGUUCUUCAAGUGCACCAAGCUUAUUUCCACUUUACGGCCUUUGUGCAUAUUCUAUUCUUUCCUCUCCUUUCCUUUAAAACUCUUCCUCCUUUCUUUGCUUAGAAAAAGCCUGUCUUCAGUGUAGCAUAAACAUCCUUCAGGAACGACUUCCCUGAUGCCCCAGGUAUGCUGCUUCUGAUAAUUAUAGUUAAAUAAUCGAUUUUUCACUUGGUGCUCCCCUACCAGGUGGUAAGCUCUAUGAGAUAAGGACCCCAUCUUUCCCCAGGGCCUGCCUAACACAGGGCCUUGUACAGAAUACACAGCCACUAAACAUUUAAGUGAAUGUAUAUCCCAGAGUCAGGAACUCCUGUUUUUAUUCUGUUGAAGGAUAUCCUUAACCCUUUAAGCAAAAUGCUUUCUCCCUCUGAAUUCUUUAAAAUAUCACUAAACGCACGAACCAUCUAAAAAGAAUGUUGCUUUUUUUUCUUUUAACAAGGCCUUUCCAGACAGAGAUGGUUUAUUAAACAAUAAGAAUUUCUUAGAAAACCUUUUAAGUCUGGAGCUCUUGAGACAAAAUACGAAAUGAUGACAUUAAUAUUCCACUUUCAAGAUGACAUUUGAGUCAUCUGAUGAACUAAUAGGUGAUGUAAGCAUCUUAACAGAGGCUUUCUGAAGAUUAUGUUAAACCUAACUGAGUGACUUCAGGAGUAGAAAUUUCAUCAGGAUAAACAGCACUACAGAGAAACAUCUGAGGCACAGAGUCUUAGGGUACCUUCAAGUCACCCCACUCUGCUGGCCAGCUUUACUUCUAGGGCUUCCUUAGAUCUGGAAAUGAGGCUGGAGAUCUGUAAAGCUUUCUCAUUAUAAGGAGAGGGACAUUAAGCUCAGAGAGGCUAAGCAAGAUGCCCAAAGUCUUACAGCUAAUACAGAAUGUUAGGACUAAAAUUAUUUUCUCACCUAAACCUGAUUGAUCAAACUAAUCCUAUGGUUUUCAUAUUAUUUCUUAAAAUUCAGUAUUCUGCAGAGGUACCUCAGGAGCCACUUUAUUGAGUGGAUGAAGAAACCUAGUCCUAACCCCAACUUCAACUGGACCAAGCAAUUCCACUGGGAAUUAUAAAGCUUGCUUAACAUAAGCCUUCUCAACUUCUGGAAAACCCAAAUCAAAGAGAAGAGAGAUGACAAAGGGAACACUGUCAUCUGGAAGUAAGACUGUGGUUCCAAGGCCUCUGACCUUCAGAAGCAGACCUAUGACCACUGUGGCAACACCGCCAGGCAGAAGAGGAAAUGUGACUGGAGUUGCCAAGGCUACAGAUGGAACACCACCUAGGCCAGGGAAUUGUGCUGGAAACGUGAUAUAGAGACAGGCACACAGAACAAGAGAGGAGGCCUCCAUCCCAGCCAGCCCCACUCCAACUGGGCCCCCACCUGUUCAGCAGGGCUCACCUGCCCAUAGAGUUUAACGUUGCUCUCUACCAUUAACAGGCCAUUUUUGUUCUCUUAUUGCUAUGAAAAUGGCACUACACGUCUAAAUUUGGUGUAGCACACCAAAAUAGAAACGGCUCCAAUUCAUCCUGAUGAGGACUCUCAGGGAGCACGUUCAGGAGGGAGGCACGCAGGUUUUCACCAAUUGCUGCGCUCCAUACCUACCAUCAGCAAAGUGAACAUGGUCUGCCCCACAUUAAACCCAUGUCUCCAGUUGUGGUACGUGACGGCCCG